rnacentral:rRNA from 1 species
GUAGGUGGCAAGCGUUGUCCGGAAUUAUUGGGCGUAAAGCGCGCGCAGGUGGUUCGUUUAAGUCUGAUGUGAAAGACCCCCGGGCUCAACCGGGGAGGGUCAUUGGAAACUGGGGAACUUGAGUGCAGGAGAGGAAAGUGGAAUUCCACGUGUAGCGGUGAAAUGCGUAGAUAUGUGGAGGAGCACCAGUGGCGAAGGCGACUUUCUGGCCUGUAACUGACACUGAGGCGCGAAAGCGUGGGGAGCAAACAGGAUUAGAUACCCUGGUAGUCCACGCCGUAAACGAUGAGUGCUAAGUGUUGGGGGGUUUCCGCCCCUCAGUGCUGCAGCUAACGCAUUAAGCACUCCGCCUGGGGAGUACGGUCGCAAGACUG